rnacentral:Y_RNA from 1 species
GGCUGGUCCGAAGGUAGUGAGUUAUCUCAAUUGAUUGUUCACAGUCAGUUACAGAUCGAACUCCUUGUUCUACUCUUUCCCCCCUUCUCACUACUGCACUCGACUAGUCUUUU